rnacentral:rRNA from 1 species
GGAGCGCGUUCAGAGACUAGAUGUUUGUGGGUCGCCGAGUCGUCGGUGGCUUAAGGUAUAGUCCGUCCCGUCCCGAAAGGGUCUGGGGUUCAAAUGUAGAUGUUCUGGGCCGCACGCGCGCUACACUGACAGAGCCAGCGAGUUUAUCACCUUGGCCGGAAGGUCCGGGUAAUCUUGUGAAACU